GGCCCGGGUGGGCUGCUCCGCGCUGGGAGCGCCGGCCCCUGCCCAGCCUGGCCACCUGCCGGUUGUCGCUGAGCAGGGCGCCCAGGCUCCAGGGAUUGGGGGCCUCGCCCACAGCCCUCAGUGCUGCGUCCCGCGCUGUGCUAGGCCCUCCCCCUGGCCCCAGUCCCAGCGAGGCCCCGUGGAGGCCCUGGGAACAUCCCCGUUGGCCUUCAUUUCACACCAGCGGAAACGGAGGCCUAACGAUAACAACGUGCCGAGGGGCCCAGUUUGGAUGAUGCUGAACUUCUUUUCAUGUGCUUGUAUGCCUUCUAUAUCUCUUCUCUGGAUAUGGUCUAUCUUGGAGAUGCCCAUAGCAAUCUUAGAGGUUAAGUGCUGAAGAUGGCAGAGAACUCACAGCAGUCUGGAUCCCUGAAGGACUACAUGGAACAGAUCCGCUGCCCACUUUAGUCCCAUUACCACCAACUGAAUUUCACAUGGCCUAUGAGCAAGAAAUAAAUUUCAAUUGUGUUAAGCCA